UGGGGAAUCUUGCGCAAUGGGCGAAAGCCUGACGCAGCAACGCCGCGUGGGGGAUGAAGGCUCUCGGGUUGUAAACCCCUUUCAGCAGGGACGAAUCAAGACGGUACCUGCAGAAGAAGCCCCGGCUAACUACGUGCCAGCAGCCGCGGUAACACGUAGGGGGCAAGCGUUGUCCGGAUUUAGUGGGCGUAAAGAGCUUGUAGGUUGCUGAGUAAGUCGGAUGUUAAAUCCCCAGGCUCAACCUGGGACACCACCCGAUACUGCUCUGGCUAGAGUCCGGUAGAGGAGCGUGGAAUUCCUGGUGUAGCGGUGAAAUGCGCAGAUAUCAGGAGGAACACCAGCGGCGAAGGCGGCGCUCUGGGCCGGUACUGACACUGAGGAGCGAAAGCGUGGGUAGCAAACAGG
rnacentral:rRNA from 1 species